rnacentral:rRNA from 1 species
AAGCGGGAAGCGAGCCCCAAGAUGAGUCAUCCCUAGGGCCUAGAGCCCUCUGAAGAGCCGUUCGAGACCAGGACGUUGAUAGGCAGGGUGUGUAAGCGUUGCGAGGCGUUGAGCUAACCUGUACUAAUGACUCGAGAGGCUUAACCAUACAACCCAGAUGGGUUUU